UACGGAGGGUGCAAGCGUUAAUCGGAAUUACUGGGCGUAAAGCGUGCGUAGACGGUUAUUUAAGUCGGAUGUGAAAGCCCCGGGCUCAACCUGGGAAUUGCAUUCGAGACUGAAUAGCUAGGGUGCGGUAGAGGGAAGCGGAAUUUCCGGUGUAGCGGUGAAAUGCGUAGAUAUCGGAAGGAACAUCAGUGGCGAAAGCGGCUUCCUGGACCAGCACCGACGUCAGGCACGAAAGCGUGGGGAGCAAACAGG
rnacentral:rRNA from 1 species